rnacentral:lncRNA from 1 species
ACAACCCGCUCUGAUUCUCUUCCAAAUAAUGGGAAGGUUUUUCCCCCCGUUUUUACAGUAAGUUUUGCUGCUAAUCACUUUGGAUUUUCACUGCAUUUAUGAGCUGUGACAUUCACUGUGAAGGUUUAAGGUUUUGCUGUUGAAGCUGGCAAAACCACAAAACCACCAAGAGAAACUAACAGUUCCACAGGCACUGUCUUAAGAGCUGUAACACCCACCAUGAAGGUCUGCAGUUUCACUCCUGAGCCAGCGAGACCAUGAACCCAGCGCAAGGAAAAAAGUGCAAGUACAUCCGAACUUCAGAACAUCAGAAAGAAGAAACUCUGGACAGGCCCCCUUUAAGAACUGUGACACCACCUGCGAGGGUCUGCGGCUUCAUUCUUGAAGUCAGCCCAAGAACCCACCGAUUUUAGACACACUGGGUUCAAGCGAUUUUCCUGCCUCAGCCUUCCAAGUAGCUGGGAUUACAGGUGUCCACCACCACGCCGGGAACCUUCCAGGUCUGAGCUGAGGUGUCAUCUCUGAACACCAGGCUGCUGCACUAACCAGAAGACCCCUCCCCACCUGCAGUGGCCUCGCUGCAUCGUAAGGAUGGAGGAGCUGUUGUCUCCACAGCUGACAGGUGCUUAGUGGUUAGAAGUCUGGUUUUCGCGCGGCUUAGAUCUUUAACAUCUGAACUAGUCCUGUCAACAUAUUUUGUUAUAUUUCUGGUGGCUUUGUCUUUGAUGCUAUUAUAAAUGAUUAUCUUUUAAAAUAAUACUUUGAUGAUAUAUAGAAAUGAAAUUGAUUUAUUUGACUGUAUCCAGCAACCUUUUCAAAUUCUAAUAAAUUGUGUAGGGAAAAAAAAGUCUGGCUUCGGAGUCAGAACGGAAUUGAAUCCUGCCUCCACCACUUCCUACCUAUAUGACCUGGUGAAACUUAUCCCUCUCUGUGACUCAGUUUCCUCAUCUGUAAAAUGGGAAAAUUGAAAGCAACUAACAGGUUUGGGGCCGUUUUGCUUGCUGCUGCUGUGGCUUCAGUGCUGAGGCCUGGCACUCAGCGGGAUGUCAGCCCAGGACUGGAGCUUCUUUCUCAUGGUAUUAUUUUGAAUUUAGAUGAAAAGAGGUAUUCCAGGAGAGCUCCUGGCACAGGGCCUGGCAGGUGGCACAUCCUCAGUAAAUGUGAGCUGCUGUCAGCUGCUGUGUGAGUGCCUGGUGUGGCCCUGUUGUCCCCUUGAGGGUUGGGGGACAAAACAGGCCCUCAGGAAGCCUGCCUGUGUAUUCGGGGGCUGGGGAGAUCUCUGACCUCCUGUC